CGUAAUUAUGGUCUUGAAGACAGUAACAUCAUCAAUGCACUUGCUAAUGUAGCCAAUCACUGAUGCUGUAUACUUCUCCAGGUUAACAGUGUCACCGUCAGUACCAGAAUCCUUGAAUGCGAUCCAUGUGGUCUGCUCAAAACAGUCCUGAAGAGCAGAGAUGGCUCCUGCUGGCCAGAUUCUCACCUGCUUCAGAAGCGGUUUCGAGCGUCUGACGAUCGAUCUAUAUGCAGGGAUCAACAUUACAGGCAUGUGAUCAGAUUAUCCGAGGUGGGCGCCCACGGUACGCACUGGAGAUGUUUAUGUAAACAAGAUCCAGCGCGUUCGCACCUCUCGUUGCAAAGUUCACAUGUUGAUAGAAUUUAGGCGGUGCAGACUUGAGAUUUGCGUGACUGAAGUCUCCGGCGACAAUAAACAGUCCGUCUGGGUGAACGUUCUGCAAUCCACUAAUCGCUACAUACAGAUCCUGGAGAGUUUCUCGUGUGUUCUCACUGGGUGGAUGUACAGCGCGAUUAUAAACACGGAGGUGAACAAUAACAAACUCCACCAGCGGUGAGCAGUACUUAACGACAAGCACAGCGUUUUUAAACCAGGUCUCAUUGAUAUAGACGCACACUCCUGCGCCGCGUGUUUUCCCGGAGAGUGCAUUGUCUCUAUCGGCACGGAUUGAGACUAAUCCCUCCAUUUGAUUUGCGGCGUCUGGAAUACUGUCGCUGAGCCACGUUUCAGUAAAGACUAAAACACAGCAAUAUCUGAACUCUCGCUGUGAAGUCUGCUGGAGUCUGAUGCAGUCCAGUUUAUUAUCCAAGGAGCAGACAUUUGAGAGAAAUAAAGAUGGUAGAGCAGGCCUGCUAGAAUUAGCUUUUAGCCUAGCACGGACCCUAGCUCCCUUCCCCCGCUUCUCCUUCCUUGCACACCGCUUGCGUUGUCUCCUCCUCCGUCAUUCGGACUCAGGCGAGGCCGUGGUCUGCAGGCCUGGUACGCAUAGCAACCCGAGCUCACAGAGCGUCUGAAGCACGCCGUCGUCCAGGAAAGGGGGAGCAAUCAGAGGCCUGUUAUUAGAGCUGUCGGGUAAAGCAGGGGACUAGAGUACUCUACUGUAAUUUCCCUCAUGAAGUACCCCAGCACGGCAUUCAGCAGAAGAUGAAGGCCUGGAAGGCAUCAUAUCUCCACGACAGCGGGCAAGCGGGACAAAUCUAUCUCGUGAAAAGCAACCAGCACACCCGGCCGAGCGAUUCACAAGGCGGCACAACAACAAGCGGAGAUGUUAUUGCUGUUAUUCUCCACCUUGGAAUAGGCCUAUAAAGCCACGCCUCUCAUGCCUCUUUGGAUGGGAGAGCCAUGCCCCUGUCUGGAGUGUCCUCCAGCACUCUCUACAAUAGCUGACUUCAUUACAGGCAUCCAGCAAACAGAGCACACGCCUCCAGUCCCAGGGUGUGAAAAAUAUUGGCGACUGGGUCGUGUUUGCAUUAUGUCUAUUCAAAAAGACGAAGAGAGGGAUGAAAGAGAAGGAGGACAUGUGGAGGAGAAGGGAGUCAGCACACAGCAUCUCAGCAGAAGGGUAAAGAUUUCUCCCCCAAGCUGGGGACUGUGGACCCAGCAACCCAAUCCAUGCUGUAUGACAUUUGUGUGUGUUUAUGUAUGUGUGCAUGCGCACAGGUGUGUGACCAUACCAUUAUUUAUUUAUGCACAUCUGUGAAUGCAAAGACUGAACGGAUAUCAAAAGUUCCCCUCAGUGCGACUCCCCUCCAAUGCAUGUGUAGUAUACAAAACUUGGAUUUUGUAUAACAUUUCUUCGCAAUAAAAAUUGACCUUGUAUCAGGACAGA